AUUGAACGCUGGCGGCAGGCCUAACACAUGCAAGUCGAACGAGUGGCGGACGGGUGAGUAAUGUCUGGGAAACUGCCUGAUGGAGGGGGAUAACUACUGGAAACGGUAGCUAAUACCGCAUACCAUCAGAUGUGCCCAGAUGGGAUUAGCUUGUUGGUGGGGUAACGGCUCACAAAGGCCACGAUCCCUAGCUGGUCUGAGAGGAUGGCCAGCAACAAUGGAACUGAGACACGGUCCAGACUACUACGUGAGGCAGCAGUGGGGAAUAUGGCACAAUGGGCGCAAGCCUUAUGCAGCGAGGCCGCGUGUAUGAAGGAGGCCUUCGGGUUGUAAAGUACAUGCAGCGGGGAGGGGUUACCCGCAGAAGAAGCGCCGGCUAACUCAGUGCCAGCAGCCGCGGUAAUAC
rnacentral:rRNA from 1 species